UUGGAGGGCAAGUCUGGUGCCAGCAGCCGCGGUAAUUCCAGCUCCAAUAGCGUAUAUUAAAGUUGUUGCAGUUAAAAAGCUCGUAGUUGAAUUUUGGGUCUGGCCGGGCGGUCCGCCCUCCGGGUGAGCACUGUUCCGACGCCGGGCCUAUCCUUCUGGUGAGUCGGCAUGUCCUUUGUUGGGUGUGUCGGGGAACCAGGACCAUUACCUUGAAAAAAUUAGAGUGUUCAAAGCAGGCGUAUGCUCGGAUACAUUAGCAUGGAAUAAUGAAAUAGGACGCGUGGUGCUAUUUUGUUGGUUUCUAGAACCGCUGUAAUGAUUAAUAGGGAUAGUUGGGGGCAUUAGUAUUCAAUUGUCAGAGGUGAAAUUCUUGGAUUUAUUGAAGACUAACUUCUGCGAAAGCAUUUGCCAAGGAUGUUUUCAUUAAUCAAGAACGAAAGUUAGGGGAUCGAAGACGAUCAGAUACCGUCGUAGUCUUAACCAUAAACUAUGCCGACUAGGAAUCGGGCGGUGUUAUUCUCAUGACUCGCCCGGCGCCUUAUGGGAAACCAAAGUGUUUGGGUUC
rnacentral:rRNA from 1 species